GGCGAAGAUGCCGAGGAGGAUCCGGCGGCGGCUCCUCGAGAGCGGCCGGAGCAGCACCGCCCCCUCCAGCGUGGAGGAGAUCGAGGCCAAGCUCAAGGAGGCCGAUCAACGGCGGCAGCAAUUUCACGAGUGGUUGGCGAGCAAGGCGAGACCAAAGCCAAGGAGCCCAUCAUGGUCUUCUUCUCAGGAGGAGGAUCUUGGUCAGCGGCUUGAGGCAAAGCUUUA
rnacentral:misc_RNA from 1 species